rnacentral:rRNA from 1 species
CCUACGGGAGGCAGCAGUGAGGAAUAUUGGUCAAUGGACGGAAGUCUGAACCAGCCAUGCCGCGUGCAGGAAGACGGCUCUAUGAGUUGUAAACUGCUUUUGUACAAGGGUAAACCUGAAUACGUGUAUUCAGCUGAAAGUACUGUACGAAUAAGGAUCGGCUAACUCCGUGCCAGCAGCCGCGGUAAUACGGAGGAUCCAAGCGUUAUCCGGAUUUAUUGGGGUUAAAGGGUGCGUAGGCGGAUUGAUAAGUUAGAGGUGAAAUGUCCGAGCUUAACUCGGGAACUGCCUCUAAUACUGGUGGUCUAGAGAGUAGAUGCGGUAGGCGGAAUGUAUGGUGUAGCGGUGAAAUGCUUAGAGAUCAUACAGAACACCGAUUGCGAAGGCAGCUUACCAAUCUAUAUCUGACGUUGAGGCACGAAAGCGUGGGGAGCAAACAGGAUUAGAUACCCUAGUAGUC